UACAGAGGCCUCAAGCGUUAGGCGGAAUCACUGGGCUUAAAGCGUGUGUAGGUGGAUGCCUAAGUACCUUGUGAAAUCCCAUGGCUUAACCAUGGAAUUGCUCGGUAUACUGGGUGUCUUGAGCCACUCAGGGGCUACCGGAACAAGCGGUGGAGCGGUGAAAUGCGUAGAUAUCGCUUGGAACGCCAAAGGUGAAAACAGGUAGCUGGGGGUGUGCUGACACUGAGACACGAAAGCCAGGGGAGCAAACGGG
rnacentral:rRNA from 1 species